UACGUAGGGUGCAAGCGUUAAUCGGAAUUACUGGGCGUAAAGCGUGCGCAGGCGGUUAUGCAAGACAGAUGUGAAAUCCCCGGGCUUAACCUGGGAAUGGCAUUUGGGACUGCAAGGCUGGAGUGUGGCAGAGGAGACUGGAAUUCCCGGUGUAGCAGUGAAAUGCGUAGAUAUCAGGAGGAACACCAAUGGCGAAGGCAGCACUCUGGGACGUGACUGACGCUGAGACGCGAAAGCGUGGGGAGCAAACAGG
rnacentral:rRNA from 1 species